UUCACAGAGUAUGUUGCCGGGGUAACUGACUCAGAGUUAAGCUGAACUGGCUUUGUGAAACCGAAAAACCAGAGUUUCCCUCACCUCAACUCAGAGUUUUCACUAAACCUGCUUUCUAAAACGGGCCCCUAGAGUUAAGGAUUUAACUCAGAGUUUGUUGAACCUUCUUUCGGAAACAGGCCCCAGACCUCAGACAUGCACCUCACAUCAGACCUCAGACCUGCACCUCAAACCAGACCUCAGACCUGCGCCUUACACCAGACCUCAGACCAGACCCCAAACCAGACCCUAAACCAGAAACCAGACCUCCUUUUCUCUCGGUCGCUCAUGAGGGUCAGGAGAAGCGUUUUUUUUCUACUUCGGCAUCUCUGUGUUCCAGGGUGAAGCUGUUUGAGGGAACAAAGAUGGUGGCUGACUCAGGUGUGGUGAUUGACAGCUCCAUGAGAGGAGGACGACUCGGCGUUUUCUGCUUCUCUCAGGAAAACAUAAUCUGGUCCAACCUGCGCUACAGGUGCAACGACACGGUGCCUGCAGAUUUCCACUCUCAUCGUAAACAAGUUCUGAUGCACAUUCAGGUUUGAGAGUAGCAGGUGAAGCAGUGACAUCAUCAUCUUCAUCAUCUCUGCUGACUCAUGUCGUCAUAACAACGCAGAAGAAGCUACACAGUGUGUUCACACACACUAAUGAUGAUGUCACUGAUGAUGUCUUCAACUAGUGGACAAACUGUGACAUCAGGACCUGGACCGGACUGUAAACCAUCAGAACCUGAACCAGACUGUAAACCACCAGAACCUGGACCAGACUGUUAACCACCUGAACUGGACUGUAAACCACUAGAACCUGAACAGGGUUGUAAACCACCUGAACCUGGACCGGACUGUAAACCACCAGAACCUGGACCGGACUGUGAACCAGCUGGACCAGACUGUAAACCACCAGACUCCCCUUUAAUGAUUGAAAUGCUGAGUCAUUGAAACAUAGAUAUUGAUCAGAUCACAUGACCCUGCUGACGAAUCAUAAGCUACAACAUAUUUGAUGUUUUUCAUGUUUGAAAUAAAAAAUCUGAUCAUUUUAAAA